rnacentral:rRNA from 1 species
ACAGUGGGGAAUAUUGGCAAUGGGGGCAACCCUGACCCAGCAACGCCGUUGAGGAAGAAGGUUUCGGAUCGUAAACCUCUGUCAGGAGGGAAGAACGGGCUGWAGUCGAACAGGCUUUAGUUUUGACGGUACCUCCAGAGGAAGCACCGGCUAACUCCGUGCCAGCAGCYGCGGUAAUACGGAGGGUGCGAGCGUUAUUCGGAAUUACUGGGCGUAAAGCGCGCGUAGGCGGUACGUCAAGUCAGAUGUGAAAGCCCUGGGCUCAACCUGGGAAUUGCAUUUGAAACUGCCGUGCUGGAGURAGGUAGAGGGUGGCGGAAUUCCCGGUGUAGGGGUGAAAUCCGUAGAUAUCGGGAGGAACACCAGUGGCGAAGGCGGCCACCUGGGCCUUUACUGACGCUGAGGUGCGAAAGCGUGGGUAGCAAACAGGAUUAGAUACCCUGGUAGUCCACGCUGUAAACGAUGGAUACUAGGUGCUGGGUUUUAAAUUCGGUGCCGCAGCUAACGCGUAAGUAUCCGCCUGG